UUGGGGGGUGGGGGGAGGUUGUUAAAAAAUAAAUAUAAGGGCGGCCAUCUUUGUUUCUCUGCCUUGUAGUGUAAAAUAUUCUAAAACGCCCCCCACUUUUUGUGAGUCGAUUUGAAUAUUAAAUAAAUAUCAUAAUUCGGAAGGGAUACACUUUUAGAUCUCGCGGAACGGGGCCACCGACGGGAAUAUAAUGUCCUCUCUUCUCCGUUCUUGUGAGGAAGAUGAGGGCACGGCGGUUAAUUCCGAGGGAGGAGAUUUUGGUGAAGAAGAAGACGACGGAGACCUGGACGCAAGCGACAUAAACUCGCCGGCGGCGCCUAGAGAAACUGCAGCGAGAGCCGCGCCAGAUGACGGAGACGAUUUCUGUGGCAUAUCAGACAGGGACAGUCUGGGAAAAAAGAAACGAGGCCCCAAGAAAAAGAAAGAAACAAAGAAGAAAGACAAAGAGAAGGAAGGCAAGAUGGCCAAGGCACGAAAGCGCAAAAAAAUUGAGAGUGACAUAGAAAAAGACUCAGAGGUUGACUAUGGCGUGAACUCUGACAGUGCUGCCAGCGAUUAUGGAGGUGAGAAGAAAAAGAAGAAGAAACACAAGGACAAAAAAGAGAAGAAAACCAAGAAAAAGAAGAAGGAGGAUGAGGACAGCACACAUGAAGAGACCACAAAGCCAAUAGAGCUGAAGACAUCGGCCCAGCUGGCUAAAGAAUGGGGUCUAGAAAAUGUUGAUCACACAUUCACAGAGGAGGAUUAUAGAACACUUACCAACUACAAAGCCUUCAGCCAGUUCAUGAGACCGAUGAUUGCUAAGAAGAACCCUAAAAUCCCCAUGUCUAAGAUGAUGACAAUUCUGGGGGCCAAAUGGCGGGAGUUUAGCUCUAAUAACCCAUUUAAAGGUUCGGCAGCAGCUGUCGCUGCCGCUGCUGCUGCCGCCGCCGCAGCCGUUGCAGAGCAGGUCUCCGCAGCAACAGCAUCCCCUGAACCUCCUCCUCAACCACCACCACUUCGUAAGGCCAAGACCAAAGAGGGGAAAGGCCCUGGCUUUAAAAAACGCAGUAAGAGUCCUCGUGUCUCCGACAAGAAGAAGCCCAAACCUAAGAAAAUGGCUCCUCUCCGAAUCAAACUGGGCGCAUUGGGCAACAAGAGGAAGAAGAGCAGCUCGAGCGAGGAGGUGGACGAUGACGAUUCUGAACAGGAGAACUCCAGCGUUCACAGUUCCUCAGUGCGCUCUGACAGCUCGGGACGGGUGAAGAAGAACAAGAGGGGUCGACCUGCCAAAAAGAAGAAGAAAGUGCAAGGAGAUGAGGAUGCUGAUGGCUAUGAGACGGACCAUCAGGACUACUGCGAGGUAUGUCAGCAGGGAGGGGAGAUCAUUCUGUGUGACACCUGUCCUCGAGCGUACCACCUGGUGUGCCUGGAGCCUGAGCUUGAAAAAGCCCCCGAGGGCAAGUGGAGCUGCCCACACUGUGAGAAAGAAGGGAUCCAGUGGGAGGCAAAAGAGGAAGACUUUGAGGACUUUGAGGAGGAAUGUGAUGAUGUCAGAGAUGUUGAGGGGGGGCUUGGUGGAGAGGAAGAGGAGGAUGAUCACAUGGAGUUCUGUCGCGUGUGUAAAGAUGGAGGAGAGCUCCUGUGCUGUGACUCCUGCCCGUCGUCCUAUCACAUUCACUGCCUUAACCCGCCACUGCCGGAAAUCCCUAACGGAGAGUGGUUGUGUCCACGCUGCACUUGUCCAACAAUCAAAGGACGUGUGCAAAAAAUUCUUCACUGGCAAUGGGGUGAACCACCACCUCCAGUUCCUGUCCUGCCAUCCCCAGACGCAGCCACUGAUGCCCCGCCCCCUCCACCUAUAAAGGGCCGUCCAGAGAGAGAGUUUUUCGUAAAGCUAGCAGGACAGUCUUACUGGCACUGUACCUGGAUUACAGAGCUACAGCUCGAGAUCUUUCACUCUGUGAUGUUCCGGAACUAUCAGAGGAAAACAGACAUGGACGAGCCGCCCAGUCUAGACUAUGGCUCUGGAGGAGAGGAGGAUUCUGGGAAGAGUGAGAAGCGGAGGGCCAAAGACCCUCAAUAUGCCAUCCUGGAAGAGAAAUAUUAUCGCUAUGGAAUCAAGCCUGAAUGGAUGAUGGUGCACAGAAUAAUUAACCACAGCAUGGAUAAAAAGGGGAAGUACCACUAUCUAGUUAAAUGGAGAGAUCUGACGUAUGACCAGUGCACUUGGGAAGGAGACGAUCUGGACAUCCCUGAAUUUGGUGCAUACAAAGCUGCUUACUGGAGACACAGGGAGGAAGUGAUGAAGGAAGACCCAGAAAAACCGAGGAAGAUACGGAGGAGAGAGGAGAAUGAUGAAGCUCCCGGCACACCAGUUAAUGAUCCGACUAUUAAAUAUGAGGAGCAGCCAGACUUUGUGACAGAAACAGGAGGAACGCUGCACCUGUAUCAGCUGGAGGGCCUGAACUGGCUACGCUUUUCCUGGGCUCAAGGCACAGACACCAUCCUGGCUGAUGAAAUGGGUUUGGGCAAGACCAUCCAGACCAUCGUGUUUCUCUAUUCACUGUUUAAAGAGGGUCACACCCAAGGACCGUUCCUGGUGAGUGCACCGCUCUCCACAAUCAUUAACUGGGAGAGGGAGUUUGAGAUGUGGGCUCCUGACUUUUACGUGGUUACCUACACUGGAGACAAAGAAAGUCGAGCCAUCAUACGUGAGAACGAGUUCAGCUUUGAUGACACUGCAGUAAAGGGAGGAAAGAAGGCCUUCAAGUUAAGGAGAGAAGCUCCCAUUAAGUUCCAUGUGUUGCUGACAUCAUAUGAGCUGGUAACCAUAGACCAGAAUGUUCUUAAGUCCAUCGACUGGGCCUGUCUCGUGGUGGAUGAAGCUCACCGCCUCAAAAACAACCAGUCCAAGUUUUUCAGAAGGCUAAAUGAUUACAAGAUUGACCAUAAACUGCUGCUGACAGGAACUCCACUUCAGAACAACUUGGAGGAGCUUUUCCACCUGCUUAACUUCCUCACGCCCAACCGUUUUAAUAAUCUCGAGGGUUUUCUUGAGGAGUUUGCUGACAUCUCUAAAGAGGACCAGAUUAAGAAACUGCAUGACCUGCUUGGACCACACAUGCUGCGGAGACUCAAAGCCGACGUGUUUAAGAACAUGCCGGCCAAAACUGAGCUCAUCGUACGAGUUGAGCUCAGCCCCAUGCAAAAAAAAUACUACAAAUUUAUCCUGACGCGCAACUUUGAGGCGCUAAACUCAAAGGGAGGAGGGAACCAGGUGUCUCUGCUCAACAUAAUGAUGGACCUGAAGAAGUGCUGCAACCAUCCCUACCUCUUCCCCGUCGCCUCUGCCGAAGCUCCUAAGACACCGAGUGGAGCUUAUGAAGGAGUCGGUCUCACAAAGUCUUCUGGGAAACUCAUGCUGCUUCAGAAAAUGUUCAGAAUACUGAAAGAACAGGGUCACCGAGUGCUCGUGUUCUCUCAGAUGACCAAAAUGCUGGAUUUGCUGGAGGAUUUCCUGGAUUAUGAGGGUUAUAAAUAUGAGCGAAUUGAUGGAGGCGUUACUGGAGCCCUUCGACAGGAAGCCAUAGACAGAUUCAAUGCUCCGGGGGCGUGUCAGUUUUGUUUUCUUCUCUCAACGCGUGCAGGUGGUCUGGGCAUCAACUUAGCAACUGCAGACACAGUUAUCAUCUUUGACUCUGACUGGAAUCCUCACAAUGACAUUCAGGCCUUCAGUCGGGCUCAUCGCAUAGGUCAGGCCAAUAAGGUGAUGAUAUACCGCUUUGUGACUCGCGCGUCUGUUGAGGAAAGAAUCACUCAAGUGGCCAAGAGAAAGAUGAUGCUAACGCACUUGGUAGUGCGCCCCGGUCUAGGCUCGAAAGCAGGAUCCAUGUCCAAACAAGAGCUGGACGACAUUCUCAAGUUUGGCACUGAGGAGCUUUUCAAAGAUGAGAUUGAAGCAGGGGACAAUAAGGAUGAAGACAGCAGUGUAAUUCACUAUGAUAACGCUGCCAUUGAGCAUCUGUUGGACCGCAGCCAGGAUGCCACGGAUGACUCUGACAUGCAGAACAUGAACGAGUAUCUGAGCUCCUUCAAAGUGGCUCAGUACACCGUCAGAGAAGAUGACAAGAUUGAAGAGAUCGAGAGAGAGAUCAUUAAGCAAGAGGAGAAUGUGGAUCCAGAUUACUGGGAGAAGCUCUUGAGGCAUCACUACGAACAGCAGCAGGAAGAUCUGGCUCGAAAUCUUGGCAAAGGAAAGAGAGUCCGCAAGCAGGUUAACUACAAUGACGCAGCCCAGGAGGACCAAGAGUGGCAUGCUGACAUUUCAGAUAACCAAUCAGAAUACUCUGUUGGCUCGGAGGAGGAAGACGAGGACUUUGAUGAGAGACCUGAGGGUCGCAGACAGUCUCGCAGGCAGCUCAGGAAUGAGAAGGAUAAACCGCUGCCUCCCCUGUUGGCCAGGGUGGGUGGCAACAUUGAGGUGUUGGGCUUUAAUAUGCGUCAGAGGAAGGCCUUCCUGAAUGCUGUGAUGAGGUGGGGGAUGCCAGCUCAAGAUGCCUUCUCCUGCCAGUGGCUCGUGCGAGACCUCCGCGGCAAGAGCGAGAAAGAAUUCAAGGCGUAUGUGUCGCUCUUCAUGAGGCACCUCUGUGAGCCAGUGUCCGACGGUUCAGAAACAUUUGCUGACGGCGUUCCACGGGAGGGGCUUUGCCGGCAGCCGGUCCUUACACGUAUAGGGGUCAUGUCUCUGGUUAAGAAGAAGGUACAAGAGUUUGAACACAUUAACGGUAAAUGGAGCAUGCCUGAACUAAAGCCAGAGGUUACUGUGGACUCCAAGAAGUCUUCAAGAGCCUCUUCACCUGUCAUAAAGACAGACACUCCCACACCUGAACCAAGCUGUAACAACACACCCUGUACUUCCAAACCAGCCACUCCCUCUCCAUCUGACAAGAGCGGCAAAGAGUGCGAGAAAGACGAUGGUGGGUUGCACUCAGAAACAGAGAAAGAGAGAGAGAAAGAGGGGAAGGAGGGAGAGAGGGCAGAAAGCACAGAACAUGGAGAGACCACCUUGAAAGAAGGUGUGAAGGAUCCUGCAUCCCGUGAAAAAUCCCUAACAUCCGAAAGUCCAACAGCAGCUACUGACGACUCCAAAACGAAGGACAACUCUGACCUCCCUCCAUGUUCUCCAAAAGAAAAGAGCGAGAAAGACAAACGAGAGGAGGAGAACUCUGAGAAGAAGACUUCCUUUGAGAAAACAAUGGGAGAUUCAUCAUGUGAUUCCCCAUCCGUUAAAGAUGAGGACAGAGAGGCUGUUAGAGGAGAGAAGGGAGAGAAGACUGGUGAAGAGAGGGACAAGAGAGAUCAGACACCUCCCACAGAAACAACAGAAAAGCAAGAGAGAUCAGAUAGUCAAUCUUCUGAUGUCAAAAAAGAGGAGGUGAAGGGUAAAAAAGAUGCUGAAAGAGCAAAAGAGGUCAGAGGUCAAAAGGAGGAGAUUCCCAAAGGGAAUGGCAAAUCCACAGAGCGACCACGGUUCAUGUUCAACAUUGCAGAUGGAGGCUUCACAGAGCUGCACACUCUUUGGCAGAACGAAGAACGGGCGGCCAUUUCAUCAGGCAAGAUCAACGAGAUCUGGCACAGACGACAUGAUUUCUGGCUGCUGGCAGGCAUUGUUUGCCAUGGUUAUGCACGCUGGCAGGAUAUACAGAAUGAUCUGCAGUUUGCCAUCGUAAAUGAUCCUUUCAAGACUCAAGCCAACAAAGGAAACUUCUUAGAGAUGAAGAACAAAUUCCUUGCAAGGAGGUUUAAGUUGCUGGAGCAGGCCCUGGUGAUAGAGGAGCAGUUACGUCGAGCUGCGUACCUCAACAUGACCCAGGACCCCACUCACCCGGCCAUGGCUCUGAACGCUCGUUUCACCGAGGUGGAAUGUCUGGCUGAGUCCCACCAGCACCUCAGCAAGGAGUCACUUGCUGGAAACAAACCUGCCAAUGCUGUCUUGCAUAAGGUUCUUAACCAGCUAGAGGAGCUACUGAGUGACAUGAAGGCGGAUGUAAUGCGGCUUCCAGCUACACUCUCUAGAGUCCCACCAAUUACAGCCCGACUGCAGAUGUCAGAGAGAAGCAUCCUCAGCAGACUGGCCAACAAGGGCAACGAGACACACACGCCUCCGGUUAUUCCUCCGGGCCCCUAUGCCACACCACAGAAUUUUGGCUCCCCCUUUACACCCGCACCUUCAGCACUAACACUGGCUGGGUCCAACUACAGCCAGAUGCCUCCUGGCUCCUUCAUAUCAGUGUUGAACGGACCCCCCAUGUCAGUAAAAAAGGAAAGGGAGGCGGAGUUUCUGAUGGCACGGAGGGAACAGCGCAGCGGGGAGGUGAUCUGCAUCGACGACUGAAUUUGACCCCUCCCGACGCGCACAGACUCGGCCGAACAUCUGCAUGCAAAUGUGAAUGAGGUGAAUGCUUAAGCUGGGACCUGUUGAAAUGUAACCAUGGCGAGGACAUAUGUUUGUUAUUUGUAAUUGUUUGAUAACUUACUGUAUGUUUAUAACAAUUCUAGAUUUCUUACAAUCUUUGCAAUUAUACAAAUAAUUUAACGUAUGCUUAAAGUGAUAGUUAACCCCAAAAAAGAAAAUUCUGUCAUCAUUUAAUCACCCUCUUGUCAUUUCAAACUCGUGUGGCUUUCUUUCUCCUGAGAACACAAAAAUAUAUUUAGGAAAAUAUUGGUAACUGGCACCCAUUCAAUUGCAUUGGUUUUGUGUCCAUAGUCCAUAGUGGCCACCCCUGUUAAAUUACCAACUUUCUUCAAAAUAUCUUCUUUUUUGUAUAGUAUUUUCCUAAUAUUGUAUUCUGUAUUUAUUCUCACUGUAUAUCCUGCACUUGCUAAUUGCACUUCUGGUUAGACCUAAACUACAUUUCGUUACACUGUACUUGUAUAUGUGUAAUGACAAUAAAGUUGAAUCUAAUCUAAUCUUUUAUGUUCUGCGGGAGAAAGAAAGCCACAAGUUUAAAAUGAUAAGAGUGUGGGUAAAUAUUAACAGAAUUGUAGUUUUUGGGUUAACUAUUACGUUAAAAAAACGUAUACUUAGUUUCCUUGUAUUCAUUUCAAAGUAAUAUAUAUCAUUGUAUCUGAAUCCCCUUCUUUUCAUAAUUGUUAAGGUGUCCAACACAAAUAAAAUCUUAUUUCUGUUUUGUUUGUUCUUAUAUUGUCUUGCAAAGCUGUAUCCUGUUAUUUAUUUGUAGUAUGUUAAUUGAAGACUUAUACAGCUGUCCUCCAUGUAUGUAAUGACUGGCAUUAACAAAUCGAUGAUACACUAUGAUACAUAUAUACACUAUGAUACAUAUAUCUUUAUGACAUUCUACAUACAGUAUAUAGUACUAAUAUAGUCAUCUCAUAACUUUUGGCAUCUUAUUUGGUAGCUUGCCUCUUUCCAAAAAGAUCUAGAAUAUGGUAAACUUUGUAGCCAAUCCCAUUAUGCACCUAUUGUGGCUGUCCAAUGCUCGUAUCAGAAUGUUUUGUCACAAUUCUAAAAUGUCAAGGAACACAAGUCUCUUCAUGUAAUAUAAAGUAUUGUUGAUAUACUUUUUACCCACACCAACAUUUAGUGUCUCGUUUCAGUUUUUACGACCUGCGUUAUCAUGUCAUGUGCUUCUAAUACACUUGCCUGCAAAUUAUUCAAAACACUGAUUAAGAUGUCUAUAAAUUUAGUGUCAUUUGCAUGUCCACCUUUCAUCGGAGUAGGACAAUGGAUUCUCGCAAAGUACGAGUUAUCAGAGAUUUUUUACAGCAUGGACAAUCUCUAUCAUAUUCGGAGAAGAUGUGAGAACUUUGCACCUAAGGGUAGGGGAAUGAGAAAUAGUUUUCACCAAAAGAAUUUAGAACUAUUUUGACCUUCAUUUAAUGAUAGGCUUUACAUCAGAUGGAGAACUGCAUUACAAGUUCAGAUAAAAGAAAGACCGUAGUGAAUAUCUGGCUAAAGUCGUCACAUCACCUGAGGAGGCACACAACAUAUUUGUGGAAUUUCAUGCCAGCCCUCUUGGUGGACAUUGUGGGGUUGAAAAGACUCAGCAUGCCAUAAUCCUUAGAUUUUACUGGCCUGGCACGGAGGAAAAAAUUUACAAGUGGGUUAAUUAUGUCACAAGUUUGUUUAGAUCUUGGUGUCAUUUACUUUCACUUAUUGCAUUAUCUCUGUUUUUUCAGUUGGCUCAGUGUCCUCAAUGUCAGGCCACAAGAAAAACAAUAACGAAGGCAGCAUUCAAUCCAAUAAUUGCAAGAGUUAAAAUAUUGAAUGUGGAAGGCGGUACCAUUGGGAAUGUGUGGACAGACCUUCUUUAGCUGGCACAUACAGAUGCCCAGGAUGCUGUUAAAAUGGUUAAAUCUAUUGAGAUUAUUGUUAAUGUAUUUUUAUUUGUUUAGCCUCUGUAAAACUCAUUUCCAUGUUUCGUUGUCUGAGCUGUUUUCUGUUAAGUUUGAUUUCUUGUUUUGCUAUAUGACUUGUGUCAAAUUCUAAAAUUUAAGUAUGAUCUCUGCAUCCAGGGAAGUAUAAUUUAGUGCGCAUUCUUUAGUUCAGGGGGGUCCUUGUGGAAAAACAGCAUGAUUCUCUUCUUCCCAUUGUGAAGUUUAAAGUUCGUAACUACGGAUGACAUUUUUCAAGUAACCUUUUAAUUAAGAUCGUUAUCGAGAAGGAUACGGAAACUUUAAAAAACGAACCCGAGAGCUUUGGCUCCUGCGCAAUGGUGUGUUAGACUUAAUGUCGUGAUGCGGAGUCCGAUCGCCGUAUGGUAUUAUACCCGAGGGUAAUUGGUGAUUUGAUGUCAUAGACUGAUCGGUCUGUGCAGGAUCGACUGAAUUUGAACACGCCUACAAUCUUUGUUUCAGUUACAACGAAAGUGGGGGGAGUUUCCGGCCAUGCAUGGAAAAUCGUUUAAAUGUUGCUUCUAUGGCGAACCAGAAAUCCGUGGUAAAUCAUAUUCGUCGAAUCUGUCGCGUUCGCAGCUGCUGGGAAAUCAGGAAAAUCAUCAACAUGCACGCGCAUGCCCCGAGAUAACACGAUCCCCAGUUGAUCCAUAACACCGGCAAUGCACGAAUGCUUUGCUUAAAAAGUGGGGCCAUUCCAAUCAACAAAUAUUCGCAAUGACAGGCGCCUCAGAUUCGCAGCCUGCAAGUAUAUUACAUUGUAAAAUACUUAUAUGGACUAACGCGGGUUGAGUUUUUCGCGUAUUUGUGAUCUGCAAGUGCAGUCCCGCGCGCAAAGUAAAAAAAAGACAACAUAAGUCCUAAUAAUCAGUAAUAAUGUUCCAAAUAGAGGCAACAAAUGUAGUGUUUAUAAUGGGUUUUACUGUCUUUGAGACAAAAGACAAGAUGGACAAUGCCACGUUUUUCUGUAUUGUUUUGUGUAUGAAUGUAAUUGUUUUAAAGGACCUAGUCUUUUGCAGCUUUUGAGAAUUUGAUUAUGUUUUUGGGGUGUUUAACAAAAGAUGUUCAUGUUCCAAUAAAACAAACCUCUUUAUAUUUAACAUAUUUCAAGUUUUUUGUUCACCUCUGUCCCUCUUUUAACAAAACGACUGGAUUUCAUAAACUUUUAGCAAUAAACGGUAACGAACGCAUCAACCUCACUUUAUCAGUUAAAAACAUGAAGAUCGUUUGAAGUGUAAUGGAGGUCUGAUAGUGUAUGUGCUAACGUCAAUCUUUGUUAGAGAUCGCACAUUUUUUCCUACAAUGACGAGUUAAAUGACACCGGAUGGAAUGGUUUCAGACCAGUUACAUUAAUUAACACUAAUAACAGAAGCAUUCGUCUUGCCAUUUUAUAUUGGACCCGAGUUGGAUUAUUAAACAAGCAGAUUGACCAGGAGACAUUUGCAAGCAGGACUUCAAAGGACGUUUCAUAGAAGUGUUUUAGAGGUAGGCAAUGCGCACACACAAACACACAUAUGAUAUCAGUGUAAUGCACUGAACAGCUUUCAUAGCCGAUGUUAAAGUCAUGAUUUGAAGCGGAAUUCUUAUUAUCAGCUGUAGGACUGUGAUGAAAGUGAAAAUGGUUAAUCACGUAGUUCAGUCAAAUGUUUACAAUCUCUGAGAACCAAACCCUACUUCAGCAGCUCUUCCUCUUCUCUAAGGAAGGCCUUGCCCCUUUUUUGGCGUAUUCCUUUGGGCGGAGGUUAUUAAAAGCACUCGGAUAGUGAUAUCUUGUACCCGGGAAGUAGAGGGCUGUAGUCAGAUUCCAGCCAUUCUCUGUAAUCCUUGAAAAGUGAAUUCUGUUAAAGACAAUAUCUUGCUUGUCACUAAACUUUGAACUUUAUCAUUUUGCAGGAAUUGUUUAUGCUCUAACAGCAACAUAACACACUAACUAUAGGUUGAAAAAUGGGAUCAUGGGGAAUGGGAUCUUUAAAGCGGAUCUGCAAUGCUGUGUCAUGCAUUCAGACUUCUUUACAAUGUAAAACGUGCGGUUUUCUCAUCCUUUACAUGGUCAACUUGUCAAAAAACGAGUUGGGCAUUUUAUGUAGUAUUUCUGUGCUCGAUACACUCCCCCACCGAUCGUACAGGUUCGGUAAAGUUUUUUUCGAAUAUUUAAAACAGUUUCAUAACAACUUUUUGUAGUCCCUUGCUGAAUAAUUCUCCCGGAAAAGCAUGCGGCACGGCGACAGG